CUCUGUACUGGUUUCUAAAUUUCAUUCCCUGCCCAAGGUGUUCAACUGAUCUCAAGCCAAAAGCUGUGUGAAAAAUUCUGCUCACUCAUGUAGGAUGAUAGCUAUAAUAAUAAUAAUCCACUGCAGCGUACUAGUGGCAAAGGAGGUGAGGAAGAGAGGGAGAAAGAGUUGCAGGGAGAAAUGAAAAAUGAACUGGAAAAUGAGGACACAACUCUGGCCCCUUAUCUCUUCUUGUUGGGAUGUUUUCCGUGAUAAGUGCAGAGUAACUAUGUUGCCAGGUCCACUGAAACAUGUUACUGACAGCACCACAAGUGCUAGGAGUGGCUCUUGCGGCGCUGAUGCUUGGCUUCACAUUUUGAUCUCAAGGACUUUUGGUUUAUUGUUCACUGAGCUAGAAAAUCCUUGACCGAGGUUUAUGGAUGUUGGCUGUUAAGAGUCCUUGUGGUUAGAUAGAAAUGAGUCUGCAAAUGGAAAGGUUCAAUUAAAUUCAAAUUCAAAGAUACUUUCUUAAUCCCAGAGGGAAAUUAGAGUUUCAGUGCACACAAUUCUGAGAUCAGACAUACAUACAUAGGCAAAGACACAUGACAAGAAUUGGUGACUGUGGUCAUUCCAUAGACUGUACAUAUACUGGACAAUUCGAUUCCAUAGGCUUCAAUAACACGUUAUCUGUCCAUAAUGGGAGGUGUCCACCACCGCCAUUUUGACCGUGUCACAGGUUCCGUCCAGCCCAGACAAUUCCAUAAAAGGGAAGAGAGGAGGCGCUGAGGGUGUGGCUGUAAGGCUGGGCUCGAGUGACGACACCCAGGCGAACUAGCUACGAGCUAACCUGAAGCUAACCCUGGCUAACCCAAAGCUAAAGCGGAGGUGGGAGCCGAGCUAACGGAUGUAGCCACCUAGCUUCAACCCAACCGGAGCUAACUGGAACACCCAUCGACCUGAACCUUACACGGAGUUUAGGUGGAGGUUUUCUGCGCCUGUUCGUGAGAAGUACCAGUAUUAAAAAAGUUUUAAAUCGCCAUUUGGAUCAUUGGAGACAGCUGAGUGAGGCGUGGUGCCCAGAGAGCUGCAGAGACAACCUUGGCCUCCCUGACGUCUGUGUCUCCUGGUUCGGUUGGGGUGGACCAUCGACAUACAUACAUGUGCCGACACUUUGCGCCCUGUUUUAUAAAAUGUAGUGUUAAAAAUAAAUGUUUUUGCUCAA